rnacentral:rRNA from 1 species
AGUGGCGAACGGGUGAGUAACACGUGAGCAACCUGCCCCUUACUCUGGGAUAAGCCUUGGAAACGAGGUCUAAUACCGGAUACGAGACGCACGGGCAUCUGUAGCGUCUGGAAAGAUUUAUCGGUGAGGGAUGGGCUCGCGGCCUAUCAGCUUGUUGGUGGGGUAAUGGCCUACCAAGGCGACGACGGGUAGCCGGCCUGAGAGGGCGACCGGCCACACUGGGACUGAGACACGGCCCAGACUCCUACGGGAGGCAGCAGUGGGGAAUAUUGCACAAUGGGCGCAAGCCUGAUGCAGCGACGCCGCGUGCGGGAUGACGGCCUUCGGGUUGUAAACCGCUUUCAGCAGGGAAGAAGCGCAAGUGACGGUACCUGCAGAAGAAGCGCCGGCUAACUACGUGCCAGCAGCCGCGGUAAUACGUAGGGCGCAAGCGUUGUCCGGAAUUAUUGGGCGUAAAGAGCUCGUAGGCGGUUUGUCGCGUCUGCUGUGAAAACCUCAGGCUCAACCUGGGGCUUGCAGUGGGUACGGGCAGACUAGAGUGCGGUAGGGGUGACUGGAAUUCCUGGUGUAGCGGUGGAAUGCGCAGAUAUCAGGAGGAACACCGAUGGCGAAGGCAGGUCACUGGGCCGCAACUGACGCUGAGGAGCGAAAGCAUGGGGAGCGAACAGGAUUAGAUACCCUGGUAGUCCAUGCCGUAAACGUUGGGCACUAGGUGUGGGGUCCAUUCCACGGAUUCCGUGCCGCAGCAAACGCAUUAAGUGCCCCGCCUGGGGAGUACGGCCGCAAGGCUAAAACUCAAAGAAAUUGACGGGGGCCCGCACAAGCGGCGGAGCAUGCGGAUUAAUUCGAUGCAACGCGAAGAACCUUACCAAGGCUUGACAUACACCGGAAAAGUGCAGAGAUGUGCUCCCCGCAAGGUCGGUGUACAGGUGGUGCAUGGUUGUCGUCAGCUCGUGUCGUGAGAUGUUGGGUUAAGUCCCGCAACGAGCGCAACCCUCGUCCCAUGUUGCCAGCGGGUUAUGCCGGGGACUCAUGGGAGACUGCCGGGGUCAACUCGGAGGAAGGUGGGGAUGACGUCAAAUCAUCAUGCCCCUUAUGUCUUGGGCUUCACGCAUGCUACAAUGGCCGGUACAAAGGGCUGCGAUACCGCGAGGUGGAGCGAAUCCCAAAAAGCCGGUCUCAGUUCGGAUUGGGGUCUGCAACUCGACCCCAUGAAGUCGGAGUCGCUAGUAAUCGCAGAUCAGCAACGCUGCGGUGAAUACGUUCCCGGGCCUUGUACACACCGCCCGU